CGUUAUUGGAAACAAUAUUGCAAGCAGUCCACCCAAAGACACAGCUUUGCCCACAUCUCUUGGAUGACCUUGGAUGACCGCUCUGCAGCCUCCCUUUGCCUGGCAGCUUGGUCUCAGACUUCCGUCAGUGCCAGCUCGUGCAUCCUCAGAAAGAGGCCAGUACAUCCCUCCAAGCCCUGAUGGUCUUCACCCCUGUCCAGAUGCCCCUCUUUGGAGGCACAGGAGAGUGAGUGGAGCGAGAUUUAUAGCAAGGUCUUCCUCAGGAGGAAUGAAACACGACCUGGAGAGCCCGCCUGCUGGCAAUAAGGCAGCUGAGGUGCCUGCGUGGUCAAUGUCCGGAACAACCACAGUCGUCACCUGCAAGCACUGA
rnacentral:lncRNA from 1 species